UGACAACUCCACCCGAUGAGUUUAUUAGCUUGACUGACUUCACGAGCUGCGAAAGAUGCUUGUUUCUGUCGGCUCGAUGAGUGAAGAAACCAGCUGGCUGUACCGACUCUGAUAGCGUGUCUCGAGUGAGCCGUGUUUCCGUGAAGCAAAGAAUGUUACAGUCUCUUAUGUCUCUCUGGAAUGCUACCCUUGCUCGGAUUUCAUCAAUCUUGUUGUCAAGAGACUGGACAUUGGCGAGUAGUAUGGUAGGGAGUGGUGUGCGAUGUGCCUGUCUCCAGAGCCUGACCAGAAGACCGCUUCGUCUGCCCCUUUUACUGCGACGUUGUUUUGGUUCGCUGGCUGGGAUCCCAUCCAUUGUCCUGGGUGGUGGGCAAAACACAGGAUCUGCUUCGGGAAAGUCGUAUUCCUGGUCGUAAUGAUGGUG
ensembl:lncRNA